AUAAGUGUAAGCUCUCAGCUUCUCUCAAAAUUUAGCUUUGGAGAGCAAUGCAUUUCUAAAUGUUUCAGAGAUGCAUACAGUUUUAAAAUUUUCCUAUCUAAUUUCUGUAAGAGUGAUAAUUUAAAUUAGUAUGUGAUUGUGAUACAUUUUGACUUGAAAAUAUGGCCAUUAGGCAAUGGUCUGGUUAGAGUUAUAUCUUUAAAAUGUCCCAUCCAUUUGCUUUGAUUAAGUCUGCAUAAAGGUUUGCACGUUCUGUUUUAUUUGCUUUAUUUGGACGCCUAGUGCGUCUUUUGUGGUCUUGGACUUGGCCCCAACUGAGGAGGAAGAGCAGCUGGAUGGGGACGGAAAGUCAGAGCCUUGGAUGCUCCUCCCAGCCGCCCACUUAACCUCUCGAUGCCUCAUUAUUUCCCUCUAGAAAAUACUUUCACUAUUUGUCCUUGAAUUAAGCAGUGAAGAAGACAACUUUCAACAUUUAAAGUGAGAACUCUGACACAUCCAGAUUUUGUAAGCUGCAUAGAAUGAAUUUCACAGGAAGCAUCUAAUUCAUGAACUCUUACAAGUUUGUAUCAACACCUACAGCUCUGACCUCUGGGCUAAGUCCUUUUGUUGUGCUGCUAUGCACAGUUGUUGAAGUUGUGCACAACCUAUCCUGUCAUAUGCACCAACCCUGAUUAAGUGGCAGCUAAUUCUUUACAUUCCAAACUUGGCUCUUUCUGAUGUGAGGAAUUAUCCAUUUACUCUAAUGUUUUCAGUCAUCUUUUGGAAUGCAAGCAUCUACUCUACUGCCAUCAAUCAAUAAUAUCUUUAAUGUCGUGCACAAGUCCUUAUGCCAGACCGUUGGAGGGACUGCAAAAGUUGAAAAUUUUGAAGAAGCAGUUACUGGGUCCAGAGAUUCUCUUUGACUACAACCACCAAAAGAAUGGACACAUGUGCUAUCUGGAUGAGCACUUCCUCCUGACUCCUUAACAAAAACCUCCCUGAAAGGUUGAUAAGCAAACAGGCUUCACAACAGAAGGGCAGCUCACUCCCCAGAGGAACUGACGGAAGCCAUACACCCAACACGGGAAAAGAAAGCAGGACAUGGGUGAUUCUGAGAAAGGUGCAGCUUUCCAGGACAGACAGGAAACACUGACAUAUGGCAAUUGAAUCAAAGGGGAUUGUCAAGUCUCUGUUCAAUUGUUUGAGUCACAAAGUCUCCAAUCUUUCAGCAACAUGGUACUUUGACCAUGGCUUGAGCAAAACCAAAGUUAUAGGUGAUGGUUAUGGUGAUGAAUAAAAGAGCAGUGCAGAGUGAAUAUGAAGAAUAAAUUCGACUUUGAUUUUAGUUCAGGGGUGUAGAUAGAUAUUUUGUUCAGGAUUUGUAACUUGGAUUUUGGGAGAUUGCUUUCCAUGAAGAUUUUGAAUCCUCAUAGAUAAUAUAUUAAUUUAGAGUAGAAUAGAGAUGAAUUCAAAUGAAGGGUGAGAGAAGUUGUACUUUGAGGAAUAAGAAAAUAGGUAUAAAAACAUUUAGUGAAUUUUUAAAUCAUGCUAUAGACAAUCAUCAUUAUGAUCCUACUUAGGAAAGUCAGAGUCACGAAGCUCUGGAUUUAGUUUUUCUGUACUCUGUUGCAAAGGGAAUUCUUUGGUAGAGAAAAUAGAGAGAAGCCUGUCAGCGACAGACAAGAGAGUGCAAUGCAGGAGAACGGGUUCCUAGAGGGAUGUUGCUUUCAAUCUACUUCCCUGCUUCAGUUUUCUAGCCAGGACAUGGUAACCACCUCUCUCUUCUGCUACCUUCUGAAGUUGCUCAGAUAUAUCUCUGUUCCUUUUACCCAAAAGAAGGGCCCCCCACCAGCCACCUCUGUCCAAUUACAUGGCCCAUUAUGCUUACCUUAUCUCAAAGAUACACUCGAGUUAUUGGAAAUUUCCCAUAAAUAUUCCCACACUCCUGAAAGUGGAAAGAACAUGGCAGGAAAAGACAAACUAGAAUGUGUGUUAGUGUAUGUAGUUAUACUGAGGUUAGAAAUGGAAAACACACCUGAUACUCUGCAUUAUUAUUUUAAAAACAGCAAUAAGAACAAACUGGAAGUUCAGAAUGAGGCCCUGGAGAGAACUAUUCUUUCUCUGGCAUUUAUUUAAAUUCCCCUUUGAGAAAUAGCUUUAUUUUCAGUGAUUUCUUGGGUGAGUAAAAUAACAUUUCACUCAAGAGUUAAAAGGGGUCAGUUUGGGUCUUGUCAGGGGUGUUUUGGAACUUUCUUGCUGACCUGGAAUUAGUGCACGUGCAUCUGAGUGCUGCUACUCCAGCCACCCAGCACACCAUAAAAUAUGUUUUCCGCUACAAUGAUAUUGCUGGCAGUGCAUAAAACAAAUGGACUGGGUCAGAAAUAGUCUGACUCCACCUUUAAAUGGAUUCUUCUGGAUGUAUGUUACUUUGGAGAGCACUUUCAAAACAUUCUUCUAUUAAGGUUUUCAUUAUAAUUUUAACUCCUGUCUACAGAAGCUAUUCAUUAAUUCAAUUAGUCCUUAUUGCUGACUUAGGGAGUGAGUUCUGUAUCGUAAGCUCCAAUGCACAGACGCAGAAACUGAGGUUCAGAAGCUUUAACAUCUUGCCCCAGGUCUCUCAGAUGUUAGUAGCUAAUCUGGGAUGCAAACCAGAUGCCUGAAUCAAGUCUUCGUUCUUUUCAUUCUGCUGCACUGGCUCAUCUGACUCGAAACUGCAUCAGUUAGGGUUUGGGUUCAGCUGCAUACAAAAAAAUCCAAGUGACCGCCAGUUAGACUAAACAGAGAUUUAUUUUUCUUCCAUAUAACAAUAAAUUCAGACAUAAACAGUCUGAAACUGGUGGAAAGAAAAUGCUUUCUGGUUUCUCAUGUGAUUGGGCACAUGAAGGCAGUUGCAAUUCCAGCCAUUGUGACUGUAAUCCAGACUGCAGAAACGAGUUAGAAACAAGAAGACGUUGCAUUUACAUCAGGAAAGCAAAGUAUUUUUCAGAAAUACACAGAAAUGACCAAAAAUGUGUCUCACAUGAUCAUUGCUGGUCAUCUAAUCUUCCUAGAAAUGUGAUUUUUAUCUUAUAACAUUGCUGCCCCAACAAAAUAGAAAUUCCAUCGGUGAAAAGGAAUGAAGGAAUGGAUUUUCUAUUAGUACCCAGAGAAGUAUCUGUCUCCAAAAAUAUCUAUCUUUCCACUUCAAAAAUAAUCGAAUGUUUUCUUACGGCAUUUUUGUCCCAAAGCGUACUCCCACCCCUUGUUUUAUGUUCCUCAAUUUAGAGCAUGAACACUUGCUGGUCGACCCAUAGUCCCUUUGACGGACUGUCAGCCAGCUAUAAAAGGACUAUGUAUAUGAAGACCACACCAGCUAGAGGCCUAAACUCAAGGUUUCAUUGUUUUGAAGGACUUAAUAUUCUUCUAGUUUAUACAGAAUCUCACUGGGUAAACUUGCAAAAAAAAAUUUCUAGAAUAGAAGAAGAAUUUGGAAUACAAAAUUCAACUAUUUUUAAGUAAUAGAGAAAAGUAACAAAAACGUCAACAUUACAGACAUCAAAUACUUUAGCUAAUGAGGUAAUGUUAUUCAAGUUGGAAGCUGACCCUAUCACCAUAGGUAUCUGUUUUCCUAAGUUACUCAUCUUAACCACUGAUUCACACUGUUCACCCUCCCACUCGGCAGUGGAAAUUAAAUGGCUUGUGAUUCACAAUCUCAGCCUUAGAGAAGAGAUUUGUAAUAACAGAUGUUUAUAAUGUGCCUCUAGUUUCCCUUGGCCUUCUCGUCUUCCCCACUAAAUCCCUUAUUCUAGACCACGGAAUUUUACAAGGGACUUGAUGUCCUUGGGUCUUGCUGAGCCAGAAGAUAUUCACAAAGGCUUGGACGAAAAGCUUCUCAGCCGUCAAAUUGGCUAAUUCAUUCCAGAUUAUGCUGAACGUAAGCUCUCCAGAAGAAACCAUCAUCUAACACAGGGGUGAGGUGGGGCACGGUUCCGGGAGGAUCAGAUGAAGAGGAGUCAGCAUUAAUAACGGAAAAGGAAGGCCCAGGGUGACUGGAGAAAAGCCAGGACAGUGUGAGGACUCUAAGCCCAGCAUUAGAACUUCAAGAAGAAUAGAGAGUUCAACGAUGUCAAAUCCUCUAACAUCUGAGGAAGAGAGCAAGAUGAAAGCAUUGGGUUUAGAAAUGUGAUGUGAUUGAUGAGCUUGCUAAGGUAGUUUCAGAGGGACGAUAGUGAAAAAGCAAAAAGAUAAAGCCUGUGCUCGGUAAAAAUUUAGAGAAAAGGAAAAUUUAAAGUAAGGACCUCGGUGACUGGUCAUUUUUGGAAACACCCCUCAGUGAGGGGAAGGAGAAAGAGAUAAUUGGAGCCAGAGAGACAUGCGAGGUUGGUGGCAUUUGUUAUUAAGACCACAUCAGCUAGAGGCUUAAACUCAAGGUUUCAUUGUUGGGUUUCAUUGUAUGGCACAAUCUUGGAUGUGGUUUUAGUCUAUGGGAAAGUAGUCAAUUAAGAAGUAGGAAUAGACAAGCAGAUGGAAUAAGAGCUGGAGGAGAUGACACCCUGAAAUAAAAUUUAAUUAAUAUCACAGAGAAUGCUUUUCUAUCAUGGUUUCAUUAAACACAGAGCCUUCACUUCUAAAUAUUCAAAUACACAUAUAUACAUACACAUACACAUACACCUUUAUACAAACUGUAAGUGUGUGGACUGUUAGAAACCUCACUGUGUAAAAACUGAAAUUAUAACAUGGGAAAUGUAGAAAGGUGAUCAUUUAGAUGAGAAUGCAGAUAAUAAUAAAAAUAACACAUUUUAUGAUUUCUUUAAAUGUUUGUUCAUCCCUCCACACAAUUAAAUAGCAUGUCUUUUGGACAUUUUUAUGAUUUUUCCUUUUUCAGCUGUACAUACCAUGAGAGAUACAGGUUCUAUAACUAUUUGGAGGUAUACAGAUAG